GAUGAACGCUAGCGGGAGGCUUAACACAUGCAAGCCGAGGGGUAUAUUUCUUUCGGGAGAUAGAGACCGGCGCACGGGUGCGUAACGCGUAUGCAACUUGCCCUACUGAAAAGGAUAGCCCUUCGAAAGGAGGAUUAAUACUUUAUAAUAGAAAUCAUGGCAUCAUGAAUUUUUGAAAGAUUUAUCGCAGUAGGAUAGGCAUGCGUAAGAUUAGUUAGUUGGUGAGGUAACGGCUCACCAAGACGAUGAUCUUUAGGGGGCCUGAGAGGGUGAACCCCCACACUGGUACUGAGACCCGGACCAGACUCCUACGGGAGGCAGCAGUGAGGAAUAUUGGACAAUGGGUGGAAGCCUGAUCCAGCCAUCCCGCGUGUAGGAUGACGGCCUUAUGGGUUGUAAACUACUUUUAUCUGGGGAUAAACCUACUCACGUGUGAGUAGCUGAAGGUACCAGAAGAAUAAGCACCGGCUAACUCCGUGCCAGCAGCCGCCGUAACAC
rnacentral:rRNA from 1 species